GACGAACGCUGGCGGCGUGCUUAACACAUGCAAGUCGAACGGAAAGGCCCUGCUUUUGUGGGGUGCUCGAGUGGCGAACGGGUGAGUAACACGUGUGUAACCUGCCCUUGACUUUGGGAUAACUUCUGGAAACUGCGGCUAAUACCGCCUAGGAGCUCCUGCUGCAUGGUGGGGGUUGGAAAGUUUCGGCGGUUGGGGAUGGACUCGCGGCUAAUCAGCUUGUUGGUGGGGUAGUGGCUUACCAAGGCUUUGACGGGUAGCCGGCCUGGGAGGGUGACCGGCCACAUGGGGACUGAGAUACGGCCCAGACUCCUACGGGAGGCAGCAGUGGGGAAUAUUGCACAAUGGGCGGAAGCCUGAUGCAGCAACGCCGCGUGCGGGAGGACGGCCUUCGGGUUGUAAACCGCUUUCGCCUGUGACGAAGCGUGAGUGACGGUAAUGGGGAAAGAAGCACCAGCUAACUACGU
rnacentral:rRNA from 1 species